CCCGAUCCCAUCCCGAACUCGGAAGUGAAACGCAGCCGCGCCGAUGGUAGUGUGCACCUCGCAUGCAAGAGUAGGUCACCGCCAGGG
rnacentral:rRNA from 1 species